AAGUCGUAACAAGGUCUCCGUUGGUGAACCAGCGGAGGGAUCAUUAUAGAGUUGCUACAACUCCAAACCCAUGUGAACAUACCUAUUGUUGCUUCGGCAGGUCGCGAGACUGCCGGGAAAGGCCUCCCCUUAAACCGGGAGGCCUACCCGGGAGCCCGCGGGCAAGCCUGCCGGUAGCCCACGAAACUCUGUUUUAGCAUUGAAUUUCUGAAUCUUGACUAAAUAAGUUAAAACUUUCAACAACGGAUCUCUUGGUUCUG
rnacentral:misc_RNA from 1 species